AAGCAGCAAAUUACUCAGGUUGGAGUGCAGGCUGGGAACCUGAAGGCCACAGGGUUGAUGGGCAGCCUGGGACAAGCACAGAGAGUCCCAGACAGUGGGACAAACCUGUAGGCUAUGAGCAGCCACUGGAGCCUUUUGAGAAGUGACGUGAGCAAGAAUGUGGGUUACAGCUUGGGAUUUGGGAAAGAGGCUGCUCAGGGGCCGCCAGCUGAUUGGUCAGUUCAACAGCUCAGAGGAAGAGUGUGGAAGGUGCUCGCAGAGGUGGUGGCAGAGGUGCAAAGGAAGGGGACACGAGGCCCCUUAUAAUGCAUGUGGAGGGCUGGCUGGCUAUGGGAGGCAGGCAGGGAGCUGUUCCCAGCAGAUGGGUGGGCAGAGCAGAUGGCUGCCUUAGCUCCAGCUUGACUGGCAAGACCAGGUGAGCUGAGGUUCUUCCUGGCUGAGAAUGGUAUGAGUGCCUAGCAUCUGUGGGCUCUUCAAUGGGCAAGGACAGGAAAGAAAGGAUUGCUGAUUGGGGUAGAAGGAAGUGGCAGAGCAGAUGGGGAGUGGAAGGCACUUACAUAUUUGCAUGAAGAGGUAAAAACAUGGGCAAUGUGAGUGGUGGACGAAUAGAGAGCCGGAAGGCAGAGGUGAUGCUGACCUUGGCUCAUCUGAGGACCUCUGUCAUCAGCUGCUACAAGAGUUUGGGGGGGAAUCUGGCAGCAGAGAGCGGGCUCAGAGACCUACCAGACGCUCUGCGGAUCCGGAGCACGUGGAAAUGCAGACUGUGACCGGAAUACGAGAGUCCACGAGACUCACCCCCAGGACUGCCCGGGACCUGGCCGGGUCCAACGCACGCACGGAAAAGGGGCCCCCAGAGUUCAUGAGCUGAGCAGAUUUACGUCUGAGUCAUAAUAUUUAUAACAAUAAAUGAUUCACGAGAUGGCCAGGGCCCUCUGCAGCCCUCCCUGACAAUCGUGGACCAACAAACACGCACUCGCCCAGUAAAAACAAGGGGGGGGGGGCGAGGAGGCCCCACCGACGGGCUCCCCAUUACUCUAAUGUAAUCAGAAGAACAUUAAACAUUUCCAAAGUCUCCUCUCUUUUCCAUGGCUGAUUAAGCAGU